rnacentral:rRNA from 1 species
AGGGUUUGAUCAUGGCUCAGAACGUACGCUGGCGGCACGCCUAACACAUGCAAGUCGAACGAAGUAGCAAUACUUAGUGGCAGACGGGUGAGUAACAUGUAGGUAUCUGCCCUUUGGCCUGGAAUAACACGAGGAAACUUGUGCUAAUACCGGAUAAGUCUUUACGGAGAAAGCUUUAUGCACCAUUGGAUGAGCCUGCACUUGAUUAGUUUGUUGGUAGGGUAAUGGCCUACCAAGACUGUGAUCAAUAGCUGAUUUGAGAGGAUGAUCAGCCACAUUGGGACUGAGACACGGCCCAAACUCCUACGGGAGGCAGCAGUGGGGAAUCUUGCACAAUGGAGGAAACUCUGAUGCAGCGAUGCCGCGUGAGUGAAGAAGGCCCUUGGGUUGUAAAGCUCUUUCGUCGGGGAAGAAAAUGACUGUACCCGAAUAAGAAGGUCCGGCUAACUUCGUGCCAGCAGCCGCGGUAAUACGAAGGGACCUAGCGUAGUUCGGAAUUACUGGGCUUAAAGAGUUCGUAGGUGGUUAAAAAAGUUGGUGGUGAAAUCCCAGAGCUUAACUCUGGAACUGCCAUCAAAACUUUUUAGCUAGAGUAUGAUAGAGGAAAGCAGAAUUUCUAGUGUAGAGGUGAAAUUCGUAGAUAUUAGAAAGAAUACCAAUUGCGAAGGCAGCUUUCUGGAUCAUUACUGACACUGAGGAACGAAAGCAUGGGUAGCGAAGAGGAUUAGAUACCCUCGUAGUCCAUGCCGUAAACGAUGUGUGUUAGACGUUGGAAAUUUAUUUUCAGUGUCGCAGCGAAAGCGAUAAACACACCGCCUGGGGAGUACGACCGCAAGGUUAAAACUCAAAUGAAUUGACGGGGACCCGCACAAGUAGUGGAGCAUGUGGUUUAAUUCGAAGAUACGCGCAGAACCUUACCAACACUUGACAUGUUCGUCGCGACUUUAAGAGAUUAAAGUUUUCGGUUCGGCCGGACGAAACACAGGUGCUGCAUGGCUGUCGUCAGCUCGUGUCGUGAGAUGUUGGGUUAAGUCCCGCAACGAGCGCAACCCUCACUUUUAGUUGCCAUCAUUUAGUUGGGCACUCUGAAAGAACUGCCAGUGAUAAGCUGGAGGAAGGUGGGGAUGACGUCAAGUCCUCAUGGCCCUUACGUGUUGGGCUACACACGUGCUACAAUGGUAUCUACAACAGGAAGCAAGACUGCGAAGUUAAGCAAAUCCUUAAAAGAUACCUCAGUUCGGAUUGCACUCUGCAACUCGAGUGCAUGAAGCUGGAAUUACUAGUAAUCGUGGAUCAGCGUGCCACGGUGAAUGCGUUCCCGGGUCUUGUACACACCGCCCGUCACACCAUGGGAGUUGGUUCUACCUUAAGGCAAGGUUUCAAACCCUUGACCACGGUAUAGUCAGCGACUGGGGUGAAGUCAUAACAAGGUAACCGUA